rnacentral:rRNA from 1 species
AGUGAACGCUGGCGGUAGGCCUAACACAUGCAAGUCGAACGGCAGCACAGUAAGAGCUUGCUCUUACGGGUGGCGAGUGGCGGACGGGUGAGGAAUACAUCGGAAUCUACUUUUUCGUGGGGGAUAACGUAGGGAAACUUACGCUAAUACCGCAUACGACCUACGGGUGAAAGCAGGGGAUCUUCGGACCUUGCGCGAUUGAAUGAGCCGAUGUCGGAUUAGCUAGUUGGCGGGGUAAAGGCCCACCAAGGCGACGAUCCGUAGCUGGUCUGAGAGGAUGAAUCGGCAACCCGGAAACGAGAACAGGUCCCGACCUCCAAGGGAGGGCAGCGGGGGGAAUUUUGGACCAAGGGGGGAAGGCCGAUCCCAGCCUAACCGGUGGGUGGAGGAGGCCUUUCGGGUGUUAAGCCCUUUUUUUUGGGAAGAAAAGCCGGCGGUUAAAAACCCGGUGUUUUGACGGGAACCAAAGAAUAAGCACCGGCUAACUUCGUG